GACCUGUUGGCGAAUGGUAUCGCGCCCGCAAGCUGUAACAACUUUGAGCGACAUGGAACGGGAGAAGCUGGUUCGAAUCCAGCACAGGUAU